CAGCCGCCGCGGGAAUACGAAGGGGGCUAGCGUUGUUCGGAUUUACUGGGCGUAAAGCGCACGUAGGCGGAUCGAUCAGUCAGGGGUGAAAUCUCAGAGCUCAACUCUGGAACUGCCUUUGAUACUGUCGAUCUGGAGUAUGGAAGAGGUGAGUGGAAUUCCGAGUGUAGAGGUGAAAUUCGUAGAUAUUCGGAGGAACACCAGUGGCGAAGGCGGCUCACUGGUCCAUUACUGACGCUGAGGUGCGAAAGCGUGGGGAGCAAACAGGAUUAGAUACCCCCGUAGUCCCUGUCUCUUAUAA
rnacentral:rRNA from 1 species